rnacentral:rRNA from 1 species
CCUACGGGGCGCAGCAGUGGGGAAUAUUGGACAAUGGGCGAAAGCCUGAUCCAGCCAUGCCGCGUGUGUGAAGAAGGCCUUCGGGUUGUAAAGCACUUUCAGUGGGGAAGAAAGCCUUGGGGCUAAUACCCUCGAGGAAGGACAUCACCCACAGAAGAAGCACCGGCUAACUCCGUGCCAGCAGCCGCGGGAAUACGGAGGGUGCGAGCGUUAAUCGGAAUUACUGGGCGUAAAGCGCGCGUAGGCGGUCUGAUAAGCCGGUUGUGAAAGCCCCGGGCUCAACCUGGGAACGGCAUCCGGAACUGGCAGGCUAGAGUGCAGGAGAGGAAGGUAGAAUUCCCGGUGUAGCGGUGAAAUGCGUAGAGAUCGGGAGGAAUACCAGUGGCGAAGGCGGCCUUCUGGACUGACACUGACGCUGAGGUGCGAAAGCGUGGGUAGCAAACAGGAUUAGAUACCCGAGUAGUC